CUGAUAUAGCCCUGAGAUGUGUCUUUGGCCACGUUUUCAGCCUGGCCAUGUAUCUGACCACAUGGUCUUAGACUGGUCAGAGAAACCUGCCAGCAGGUUUCAAAGGAAGAAAAUACAUUUCUUUUCUGUCUUGAGGCAUGAACAGGGAGCUCCUGAGAGAGACCUGUGGAGCCAGACUGUAGUAGCCAUAAGACCAAGUAACACAAGUGCUGAGGAAGGUGAAAGAGCAAUACAGAAGAGAGGAGACAUGCUAAUACACCUAAAAGAUGUCAUCUUUCCUAAAAUGCAUGUUUUGCUGGAAUGUGAUUUUAAAAGAGUGAUACAUCUUAGUACAUACUUUACAUUUUUUUUUCUUGACUUUUUUUUUCCCUCU
rnacentral:lncRNA from 1 species